rnacentral:rRNA from 1 species
CGUCCUAUUAGCUAGUUGGUGAGGUAAUGGCUCACCAAGGCUACGAUGGGUAGGGGUUCUUAGUGGAAGGUCCCCUACACUGGCACUGAGAUACGGGCCAGACUCCUACGGGAGGCAGCAGUAGGGAAUAUUGGUCAAUGGGCGCAAGCCUGAACCAGCCAUGCCGCGUGCAGGAUGAAGGCUCUCUGAGUUGUAAACUGCUUUUGUACAGGAGCAAAAAAAUCCCUGCGGGGGUUCUUGAGAGUACUGUAAGAAUAAGCACCGGCUAAUUCCGUGCCAGCAGCCGCGGUAAUACGGGAGGUGCAAGCGUUAUCCGGUUUUAUUGGGUUUAAAGGGUGCGUAGGCGGCUUAUUAAGUCAGUUGUGAAAUCCUAGUGCUUAACGCUAGAACUGCGAUUGAUACUAUU